rnacentral:rRNA from 1 species
UACGAAGAGGGCUAGCGUUGCUCGGAAUGACUGGGCGUAAAGGGCGCGUAGGCGGAUUGCUUUGUCGGGCGUGAAAUUCCAGGGCUUAACCUUGGGGCUGCGUUCGAGACGGGUGAUCUUGAGUUCGGAAGAGGGUCGUGGAAUUCCCAGUGUAGAGGUGAAAUUCGUAGAUAUUGGGAAGAACACCGGUGGCGAAGGCGGCGACCUGGUCCGAGACUGACGCUGAGGCGCGAAAGCGUGGGGAGCAAACAGG